AUUGAACGCUGGCGGAAUGCUUUACACAUGCAAGUCGAACGGCAGCACGGGGGCAACCCUGGUGGCGAGUGGCGAACGGGUGAGUAAUACAUCGGAACGUGCCCAGUCGUGGGGGAUAACGUAGCGAAAGUUACGCUAAUACCGCAUCCGAUCUACGGAUGAAAGCGGGGGACCGGAAGGCCCCGCGCGAUUGGAGCGGCCGAUGUCAGAUUAGGUAGUUGGUGAGGUAAAGGCUCACCAAGCCGACGAUCUGUAGCUGGUCUGAGAGGACGACCAGCCACACUGGGACUGAGACACGGCCCAGACUCCUACGGGAGGCAGCAGUGGGGAAUUUUGGACAAUGGGCGCAAGCCUGAUCCAGCCAUUCCGCGUGCAGGACGAAGGCCUUCGGGUUGUAAACUGCUUAUGUACGGAACGAAAAGGCUCUGGUUAAUACCUGGGGCUCAUGACGGUACCGUAAGAAUAAGCACCGGCUAACUACGUGCCAGCAGCCGCAGUAA
rnacentral:rRNA from 1 species